rnacentral:rRNA from 1 species
GAUGAACGCUGGCGGCGUGCCUAAUACAUGCAAGUCGAGCGAAUGGAUUAAGAGCUUGCUCUUAUGAAGUUAGCGGCGGACGGGUGAGCAACACGCGGGUAACCUGCCCAUAAGACUGGGAUAACUCCGGGAAACCGGGGCUAAUACCGGAUAACAUUUUGAACCGCAUGGUUCGAAAUUGAAAGGCGGCUUCGGCUGUCACUUAUGGAUGGACCCGCGUCGCAUUAGCUAGUUGGUGAGGUAACGGCUCACCAAGGCAACGAUGCGUAGCCGACCUGAGAGGGUGAUCGGCCACACUGGGACUGAGACACGGCCCAGACUCCUACGGGAGGCAGCAGUAGGGAAUCUUCCGCAAUGGACGAAAGUCUGACGGAGCAACGCCGCGUGAGUGAUGAAGGCUUUCGGGUCGUAAAACUCUGUUGUUAGGGAAGAACAAGUGCUAGUUGAAUAAGCUGGCACCUUGACGGUACCUAACCAGAAAGCCACGGCUAACUACGUGCCAGCCGCCCGCGGUAA